ACUCCGUGUAAUAACACGCUCCUACGGCUUGUGUACACACAUCGGCCGCCACUUUUGUGCAACUAUUACGGCAAUUACCCUGCCUGCACCCCCACCCCCACCCCACCCCCCAACCGCACCAUCCCAACCGCGUCGAUCGCUUCGACAUCAACUGUUGCACGAGUUAUCCGCGACUCUCGACGGAAUUCGUUACGUGUUCCCGUUGAUUAAUUGAUUCAUUAGCCACCAACAAACACGAACUUUCCACUCUGGACCUAAAAAUGAUCGUUCGGGGAGGGGAGGCAGGACUAGCUGGUGUCUAGACGACCAACAGAUUAGGGGUUGUUCAGAGUUUUCCGAAUAGGUCGUCGAGCUUUGAAUUUAUCAGUCCCAGGGACGGGCAUUAACUUGUAUUAACGCUAGGUUCACGGUGAUUCCUUAUCGGAUUUUCAUUAGUGAAGUAAUGCUUUAAUAAGUGAAUUUGAAUAUAUGCUUGCCCUUUUAUAUGGAUAAAAGUCAGCGUGGUUGGUUGGCGAAAAAUAUAAAUGGUUUCUGUAAAACUUUGUCAAAUUAGAAAUGGGUCACCUAAACCUAACGUUACACUCGUAUUUUAUUCUUACUGUUUUAUUGAGUCAACUCUGAUACUUGAUUUGUCACAAAUGUGUAGAUUGCAUAAAUUAAAAACUAUCGUCAUUACUGAUUCCAAGUCAUAGGUAUUCGCGUUCUGUCUUUCGAAAUUAAGUGUAAUUGUAAUAUUAACGAAUAUCGAGGGUGACUCAAAUGCGGGAGACAAUAUUUUUACCCAGACCUAACCCAUUCGCUACCAGAUGAAUUUAAAGCGUUUUGCCUUAGGCAUCAAGACCUAAUACAAAUGUAUAAUCUAAAUUAUUAUUUUCGUAAUAAAAAGUGAUAUUUUUAUUCUUUCAAAAAGAAAAUUUCCGAUCAUUCUUUCGUAAUUAUUCGUGACUCAAAAACUUAUCCCUUGAGUAAUUGAAAUCAGUUUGAACUAGGAGGCAUCUCGUAGUGAAUUGGUUAAACUUGCCAAUUCAUGCAUCCUCGAAUCUAUGAUUCUUCAAAGAAAAUACAAAGUAAUUUACCAAUUGUAAAUCACAACCAUAAGGCGAUCCUAAUGUAUCGAACGAAACUCCAAUCGAUCAUUUUAAGUUCACUAAUCUCGAAAGUGUGCUCGUUCUCCGUCGAACUCUUUCCGAAGUCCGCCAAUUCAUCUCCCGAUUGGAAUCGUUGGUUCGCGCAGACUGAAAAUUAGAAUUCGUCGAUUGGAAGGGAGAAUCGGUAAAACUCUUUGAUGGGAGGGAUAGAUCCUCGCGAGUGAUCAGGGGAAAUUGAUGACUGUCUUAAUGGAGGAACGAAGAGGAACAGCGUGGAUCUUCCUGUUCAACGGAAUCGAUAACAAACGUGGAAUCCCCGUCUGAAGACCACACCGAUUUGUGAAUCCGCGUCCUGAACGACCACUUGCUACUUGUUUGCCUCUUCUAUCAUCCUGUAGGAAGGAAAAAGAUCACAGUUCAUGGAUCUUAGAAAAAAAAAAGACUACGCAGAGAAAAAAGAAGAUGACCAGUCGGUAAGGAUAAACAUUCUAUCACACCUUCUGUCGGCAUGUCCAGAAUGUACGCAGUCGGUAAGGAUAAGUGUUCAGUCAUGUUUUCUAUCGGUAAAACUCGGCAAUGUAGAGCCCUAAUUAAUCGCAGGAUUUUCUAUCUUCUUCCUUUGAUUGAUUAAAGUACGGAGUUGACAACUUCAACUACAACGCUGUUCGAUACAUCAUCUUUUGGAUCAAAAUGCUUUACAUAGUCCUUCACAUUAUAUCGUUUUACACGUUUUUAGUCCUUAACAUUGAGCUUCCACAGCCAGAAUCCUUAAUUUCUUACAUAAUUUCCAUUUCCAUUGCAUUUCUUCGCAUGCUGUCGAUGACCACCGACUACAAUCAAACUACAGCCCCUGAAGGCGCAGGAUUUUCAUCAACAGAGUUCUACGUUGCAAACAGACCAAUCUGUCUUUAAAAAAAAAAAAGAAAAUGUGAAAUUGAUUCCAAAAAUACAUCAUCUCGAAAGGAAUAAGCGUAGAAGUAUCGUUGCCUUAAAUUUAAGUCUCAGCUCCAAGCAUCUCCGAUGACACCGAUUUUCGCGUCGCGCGGAGACAGUCACCAGUAGCUUCGAUGACGAGUAACGUUGAUCGUGACAGCGAUGCCGAUGAUGAUAGCAGCCCGAACACAUCGCUAAGUAGUAGGUGGAAGCGGGCUUGACCUACUUCGAUCGUGGCAACAAAGAAAAAAGUCUUGGACGGUUCCCCGGGGUCAUGAGCCUCAGACGCGGGGAAUUAAAACUUGUUCCUAUUGGUUGCCUUAGCGGGAGCACAGGCUGCCAACAGAAGUCACGCAUGCCUGCUGCGUGAUUCCCCUCGUGUACACGCGGCCUGUGUUUCUUGUUCCUUUAAAUCUCGUCUGCAUUUAAUUUUCUCGCUUCUCCGAAGAUGCAUCCCGUCGCUCGACCAGGGAUUUUCACUCUCUGUAAAAAUGACUCGCCCCUACUGGAAUCUUACGUAAGCGAUUGUACUCGGAGUCAACUGUUUCGGGUCAGAUCGGCUAAAGAUUGCGUCACCUUUUGCUUACCUUUCGAAGCGUUUUAUAACAUCGGGUUAAAGUUCAGGACAAAAGUUUCUUUCGUUUUAUUUAUAUUUAAAUACGUAUAUAGUAUUUUAUGUUUUACAUUACAUCGUUCAGCUUUACGAUCUCAAACAGGAGAACGUAAAAAGAUGAAUGGUUAAGAGACAAAUUUCAUCCGGACAAAGACUACCGAAGCAUAAUCAAGAGUUUAAAUAAACGCAACUUAAAAGGUAUAUAGAGAUGCUUCCCUGAAACGACAUAAGAGCCACCACGCUUCUCGACUUCAAAAAGACUACUACUCUUCAAGCCUCUUUUACGAAUUAUACGCACACUAAGCAAAGCUAAUUUGUAUCUUUGAUGUACAUGCGUCUCGGCGCACUUAAUUUUAUCUAAACGUCUCAACGCAGUUUGCGGAUAAAUUGAAACUUUUACGGGAAUCGAAUAGGUCCGUCAAGUAUCAUAAAAUAGCGUAUAGAGUAAC